rnacentral:rRNA from 1 species
GACGAACCGUGCGAACGUUAUUCGGAAUCACUGGGCUUAAAGCGCGUGUAGGCGGGACGGCACGUCGGUCGCUGAAAUCCCCCGGCUUAACCGGGGAACUGGCGUCGAUACGACCGCCCUGGAGGGGCGUAGGGGGACCUGGAACUUCCGGUGGAGCGGUGAAAUGCGUAGAUAUCUGGAGGAACACCGGUGGCGAAGGCGGCAUCCUGGACCGGCAUUGACGCUGAGGCGCGAAAGCCAGGGGAGCAAACGGG